GAUGAACGCUGGCGGCGUGCCUAAUACAUGCAAGUCGAGCGAACAGACGAGGAGCUUGCUCCUCUGACGUUAGCGGCGGACGGGUGAGUAACACGUGGAUAACCUACCUAUAAGACUGGGAUAACUUCGGGAAACCGGAGCUAAUACCGGAUAAUAUAUUGAACCGCAUGGUUCAAUAGUGAAAGACGGUUUUGCUGUCACUUAUAGAUGGAUCCGCGCCGCAUUAGCUAGUUGGUAAGGUAACGGCUUACCAAGGCAACGAUGCGUAGCCGACCUGAGAGGGUGAUCGGCCACACUGGAACUGAGACACGGUCCAGGCUCCUACGGGAGGCAGCAGUAGGGAAUCUUCCGCAAUGGGCGAAAGCUUGACGGAGCAACGCCGCGUGAGUGAUGAAGGUCUUCGGAUCGUAAAACUCUGUUAUUAGGGAAGAACAAAUGUGUAAGUAACUAUGCACGUCUUGACGGUAUCUAAUCAGAAAGCCACGGCUAACUACGUG
rnacentral:rRNA from 1 species